GGGAAGGUGGCUGAGUGGACGAAAGCAACGGUUUGCUAAACCGUCGAGGGGUCACACCCUCCGAGGGUUCGAAUCCCUCCCUUCCCGCCA
rnacentral:tRNA from 2 species